rnacentral:misc_RNA from 1 species
ACGGUUCAGCAGUAAAUCUAUCACCAUCCCACACCCAAUCAUUCGAAUCCCACUCCCUACUCUUCUUCCCACUAACCUCCAUAUUUGACACAACUGGACCAUGAAAAUUACGAGCCUCCAUCGACAGAAAACUCUCCCCUCAUAAACACCCUUCACAAAUUAAAGAUGAAAUAUACAUCAAGAACAAAAAUUAUUCAAAAAUUCCACUCAGAAAAGUGAAAUCAAGCUAUAUUUUAGCUUAAAUUAACAGCAAACAAAACAACCCAGAAAAAUAACCAAACCCCACACCAAAAAACACCCUUUUUCAGCUCAACUACAUUUCUUACAAUUCACCCAAUCAACUAUUUUCAUUUCAGCACAAAACCAAAACCAAAAAAAAGCCGGAAAAACUGAAAGGUAAAAAGGGUUGUUGAUGAAUUCAAGUAUACAGCAAAAAACUUUGAAGUAAGAGAGAGCUAAUUAAGAAGACUGUUGACAGUACAAUCUCUCUGAGAAGAUGUGAUCGGAAAACAGUAAAAUCUCCGGGCAAAUUUCGCCGGCAAUAUAGAUGAUUUAUUAUUAUUAAAAAAAAUAUAGAAAUAUAGUGUGAGAGGAGAUGAAGGGCUUGUUUG